GACGAACGCUGGCGGCGUGCCUAACACAUGCAAGUCGAGCGGAGGAUUCGAGAUGUUUACAUCGAAGGAUCCUUAGCGGCGGACGGGUGAGUAACACGUGGGUAACCUGCCUCAGAGUGGGGGAUAGCCUUUCGAAAGGAAGAUUAAUACCGCAUAAGAUUGUAGCGUCACAUGGCGCAGCAAGAAAAGGAGCAAUCCGCUUUGAGAUGGACCCGCGGCGCAUUAGCUAGUUGGUGAGGUAACGGCUCACCAAGGCCACGAUGCGUAGCCGACCUGAGAGGGUGAUCGGCCACAUUGGAACUGAGACACGGUCCAGACUCCUACGGGAGGCAGCAGUGGGGAAUAUUGCACAAUGGGCGAAAGCCUGAUGCAGCAACGCCGCGUGAGUGAUGAAGGCCUUCGGGUCGUAAAGCUCUUUGAUCAGGGAUGAUAAUGACAGUACCUGAAAAACAAGCCACGGCUAACUACGUG
rnacentral:rRNA from 1 species